rnacentral:rRNA from 1 species
UAAAAGGUGGCUUCGGCUACCACUUACAGAUGGACCCGCGGCGCAUUAGCUAGUUGGUGAGGUAACGGCUCACCAAGGCGACGAUGCGUAGCCGACCUGAGAGGGUGAUCGGCCACACUGGGACUGAGACACGGCCCAGACUCCUACGGGAGGCAGCAGUAGGGAAUCUUCCGCAAUGGACGAAAGUCUGACGGAGCAACGCCGCGUGAGUGAUGAAGGUUUUCGGAUCGUAAAGCUCUGUUGUUAGGGAAGAACAAGUGCCGUUCAAAUAGGGCGGCACCUUGACGGUACCUAACCAGAAAGCCACGGCUAACUACGUGCCAGCAGCCGCGGUAAUACGUAGGUGGCAAGCGUUGUCCGGAAUUAUUGGGCGUAAAGGGCUCGCAGGCGGUUUCUUAAGUCUGAUGUGAAAGCCCCCGGCUCAACCGGGGAGGGUCAUUGGAAACUGGGGAACUUGAGUGCAGAAGAGGAGAGUGGAAUUCCACGUGUAGCGGUGAAAUGCGUAGAGAUGUGGAGGAACACCAGUGGCGAAGGCGACUCUCUGGUCUGUAACUGACGCUGAGGAGNGAAAGCGUGGGGAGCGAACAGGAUUAGAUACCCUGGUAGUCCACGCCGUAAACGAUGAGUGCUAAGUGUUAGGGGGUUUCCGCCCCUUAGUGCUGCAGCUAACGCAUUAAGCACUCCGCCNGGGGAGUACGGUCGCAAGACUGAAACUCAAAGGAAUUGACGGGGGCCCGCACAAGCGGUGGAGCAUGUGGUUUAAUUNGAAGCAACGCGAAGAACCUUACCAGGUCUUGACAUCCUNUGACAAUCCUAGAGAUAGGACGUCCCCUUCGGGGGCAGAGUGACAGGUGGUGCAUGGUUGUCGUCAGCUCGUGUCGUGAGAUGUUGGGUUAAGUCCCGCAACGAGCGCAACCCUUGAUCUUAGUUGCCAGCAUUCAGUUGGGCACUCUAAGGUGACUGCCGGUGACAAACCGGAGGAAGGUGGGGAUGACGUCAAAUCAUCAUGCCCCUUAUGACCUGGGCUACACACGUGCUACAAUGGACAGAACAAAGGGCAGCGAAACCGCGAGGNUAAGCCAAUCCCACAAAUNUGU